rnacentral:rRNA from 1 species
UGCCAGCCGCCGCGGUAAUACGGAGGGGGCGAGCGUUAUUCGAAAUUAUUGGGCGUAAAGGGUAAGUAGGCGAUUUAUUAAGUUAUUUGUUAAAAACCUUAGCUUAACUAAGGUAGGGCAUUUAAGACUAAUAGAAUAGAAUGAAAUAAAAGAUAGUGGAAUUUCUAAUGUAGGAUUAAGUCCCGUAGAUAUUAGAAGGAACAUCAGUAGCGAAGGCGACUAUCUAGGUUUUUAUUGACGCUGAAUUACGAAGGCGUAGGUAGCGAACAGGAUUAGAUA